rnacentral:tRNA from 1 species
GGGGAUAUAGCUCAGUUGGUAGGGUAUUUGCUUUGUAUGCAUGAGGCCCUGGGUUCAAUCCCCAGUACCA